UACGUAGGUGGCAAGCGUUGUCCGGAUUUACUGGGCGUAAAGAGCGCGCAGGCGGUCGAUCAAGUCGCGUGUGUAAGCCCCCGGCUCAACUGGGGAGGGUCACGCGAUACUGAUCGACUCGAAGGCAGGAGAGGGUAGUGGAAUUCCCGGUGUAGUGGUGAAAUGCGUAGAUAUCGGGAGGAACACCAGUGGCGAAGGCGACUACCUGGCCUGUUUCUUGACGCUGAGGCGCGAAAGCUAGGGGAGCAAACGGG
rnacentral:rRNA from 1 species